rnacentral:lncRNA from 1 species
CUCGAACAGGAAGCGCUGCGUGGCGACUUCGUGAGAAGGAGGUUUGCUGACUGCAAAAAAGGUGCGUCAGAAGAAGCAGACUGGGGCCCUGAACCUCAUGGCAGAAGAGAUAGCGAAGGCAGUGUAUAAUCAGGUCCAAAGAACAUUCAUAAUCAAAUUAUGAAUCAUCCUCAAUGCUCAUGGCUGCCUUCAUGCUUCACUUCAUGAAACAACAUGUAGAGAUUGCUAUGUGCAUCAAUAGAGGAGCAUGAGAAGCAAGACUAACACAUGUGGAUGCUUGAAUAACUUCUUUUGAGACUCAGCUCACA